CCUGGUGGUUCAGAGGUUAAAGCAUCUGCCUGGAAUGCAGAAGACCGGGGUUCGAUCCCUGGAUCAGGA
rnacentral:tRNA from 1 species